GGAGAGAUGGCUCAGUGGUUAAGAGCACUGCCUGCACUUCCAGAGGUCCUGAGUUCAAUUCCCAGCAACCACA
rnacentral:tRNA from 1 species